AUUGAACGCUGGCGGCAGGCCUAACACAUGCAAGUCGAGCGGAUGAAGGGAGCUUGCUCCUGGAUUCAGCGGCGGACGGGUGAGUAAUGCCUAGGAAUCUGCCUGGUAGUGGGGGAUAACGUCCGGAAACGGGCGCUAAUACCGCAUACGUCCUGAGGGAGAAAGUGGGGGAUCUUCGGACCUCACGCUAUCAGAUGAGCCUAGGUCGGAUUAGCUAGUUGGUGGGGUAAAGGCCUACCAAGGCGACGAUCCGUAACUGGUCUGAGAGGAUGAUCAGUCACACUGCAACUUAGACACGGUCCACACUCUUACGGGAAGCAGCAGUGUCGAAUAUUGGACAACUGGCGAAAGCCUGAUACAGUCAUGCCCCGUGUGUGAAGAAGGUCUUCGGAUUAUAAAGCACUUUAAGUUGGGAGGAAGGGCAGUAAGUUAAUACCUUGCUGUUUUGACGUUACCAACAGAAUAAGCACCGGCUAACUUCGUG
rnacentral:rRNA from 1 species